rnacentral:tRNA from 1 species
AUUAUAUUAGUGUAAUUUUAUAAGCACAUGAACUUUUCGUGUUCAAGGAAGCAGUAAAUUGCUAUAUAAUA